rnacentral:lncRNA from 1 species
UCACUGAAGUCUCUUCCAGAUGCCAAUCUAGAAGAAGAAGAAGAAGAAGAAGAAGAAGAAGAAGAAGAAGAAGAAGAAGAAGAAGAAGAAGAAGAACAACAACAACAACAACAACAACAACAACAACAACAACAACAACAACAAGAACAAGAACAACAAGAACAAGAACAAGAGCAAGAGCAAGAGCAAGAACAAGAGCAAGAACAACAACAAGAACAAGAGCAAGAACAACAACAACAACAACAACAACAAGAGCAAGAACAAGAACAAGAACAAGAACAAGAAGAACAAGAACAAGAGAAUAAGAAUAUGGACUGGCCACCAUGCACUGGGCCUCACCAUCUUAAAGCCUCCAAUUCUCUCAGCUCCUUUAAAGAUAUGACCUGUGAUUCUCCUCAAGUGCUGACAAUUUGCUGUUUCACAUUCUUACCGGGAGCUGCCUGCUUUGCUACAAACCAUAUGCCCUUUUAAAUAGUACCUAUUCAUCAGUAAUGGAUAUUACUGGGCUGCUCUGGAUUUCUACACUGAGGUACUGAUGGGUUUUACAUACCUUUCUUUUCUCAAAAGGGAAUAUCUGUCUCUGAACACUAAAUAUGAGAAGCAUUUUUCAAAUUCCUUGACAGAAUGCUUUUAACAUAUCAGUGGGGCUAAUAAAUCUUUCCCCAUUCAGAGUAUUCUUAAUGAA